rnacentral:rRNA from 1 species
GUGGGGAAUUUUGGACAAUGGGCGCAAGCCUGAUCCAGCAAUGCCGCGUGCAGGAAGAAGGCCUUCGGGUUGUAAACUGCUUUUGUACGGAACGAAACGGUCCUGGUUAAUACCUGGGGCUAAUGACGGUACCGUAAGAAUAAGCACCGGCUAACUACGUGCCAGCAGCCGCGGUAAUACGUAGGGUGCGAGCGUUAAUCGGAAUUACUGGGCGUAAAGCGUGCGCAGGCGGUGCUGUAAGACAGGCGUGAAAUCCCCGGGCUCAACCUGGGAAUUGCGCUUGUGACUGCAAGGCUGGAGUGCGGCAGAGGGGGAUGGAAUUCCGCGUGUAGCAGUGAAAUGCGUAGAUAUGCGGAGGAACACCGAUGGCGAAGGCAAUCCCCUGGGCCUGCACUGACGCUCAUGCACGAAAGCGUGGGGAGCAAACAGGAUUAGAAACCCGGGUAGUCC